CUUGUUACAAUCACGCCACCACGCCGCUCCACGUUAAGCGAAAAUCGCCAAAGUGUAUAAAAUAACGUGCCGGUGCUUCGUUCGGGCAUAACGCAAUUUUUGUGCAAAUCCAAACUUCAUUUUCACGUCUUCAUUCCUCGAAAAACCAACCUGCAAAAACCAAAAAUGGGCGCCGAAAAAGUAAACAUGAACAUCGUCGUCGUCGGACAAGUCCAAUCUGCCAAGGUCGUCAAAUCGGUCGCCAAAGCCACCCCAGCCACCAGCCAAUUGAUGAAAUGUUAAUACAUGAUGUUCACAUCAAUCUCAAACCGAAAAAUGCCAUAGCCCAAACAGUACAAUAAUAUUAUAAUUUGUUCCUAAUUAUAAAAAUGUGUAUUGACAUUUAAAAAUAAAUCAGUAUCUUCCGUCAAUCUA